rnacentral:lncRNA from 1 species
AGGACAGAAGGAGUUUGUUUACCGAGCCUGUCGGAGUUCUUGUUUCGUCGUGACAGUAUCGGCGACGAGAGCUAGGAAGUUGGUCAGCGGUGGUUUUGCAUUAGCUAUCCGCCCGUUUUGCAUUAGCUCUACCUUGUAUUUAUGCUUGAGAGUAGAUGAUGUAUAGGGUGAGGUCUGAGUGCUUGUAUUUAUAUUUUGGAACAAUGUAAAGGAUAAAAUCAAAUGUAUUAUGUUGAAAUGUAAUAGAUAGAGCUUU